ACAUAUACUGAGUACAAGCCCAGGAGCAAUGACAAGAGUCUCCCAUAGAAACUACACAGCACAGGGCUGGUCGUCCUUACAGGAUUUUCCCUUGUUCUCAGCAUCUAGACCCGUAACGCCCACUUCAGAAUGGGAGGGAGGAUGUCUGCUGCCCUGUCGUCUCCACACCCGAGGAAUGUCCGUGUGUGUGUGUGUGUGGUGUGCACAGCGGGCUGCACACAGCGGGCUCCACGGUGCUCGAAUGGAGGCCCUAAUGUGAAUGGAGACUAGCCUGCUGGUAGAGACCUUGGCAGUGACCGCUGUGGGCAAUGAGCCAUGGGCCAACAAUAUUCAAUGCUGUGUACCUGAUGGAUGGUUACUGUCUGAGACUGAGGCUUUUUGGGCCAGGAGUAAAAGGACUUGGUUUGUACUUGAUUGCGUCCUGUGGAUGCUUGCCUACCAACUGACUCAUCCUGACGUGCCAAAGGUCCUGGCUUUCCCCUGUGUGGGUAAGGGAAGAAGAGAGUUCUAAUGAGAGCGUGGCUGGCAUCGCUUCAUGAUUACAUUCUGGGAAAGAUCUUGCCUGUUAACCUCUAGAGAAGGAGGGACGAUACAGACAACCACUGGUGGAAGUUGUUGUUAAACAGUGGGUCUUGCAUGCAAGCUCUACAGUUAUGCACAGUAUUUCCAUGACAUCCCAAGCCAUGAGGUUCAUGCUGCCAUAUCCCCCUGUUUAACAAGUGUGGAAACUGAUGUAAGUGGAGUCAAAGUCUUGGUUUGGGUGGCCAUCGUAAAUGUUCCUGCUAAGAUAGGCAUAGGCUCCAGUAAGAUCAACUCAACAUGAUCAUAAAUACCAUGUUGAGGAUUUCCAAAAUUUAGAGAAAUGACAGAGAGUCACAGGGGCACAAACUCUGUUGAUGAACUUCAAUACACCAAGAUCUUGUGCAAGGAUCUGUGAUGAAGAGUUAUGUAAAUAUUCUAAUUGAUCCAUAUAGUUGUUAAUAAAAGGGGAAAGUGUGAGAGAAGUUGAAGGACAGUGUUGAGUCAAUGAUGGCCAGUGAUGAUGUAUGAAUCGGGAUCAUAGCUACAGGUCUGGUCGUCAGAGGUCCACACCCAAACACGUGUAGUGUGGAGCUGUGAUAUAGAUAUUGGAUGUAAAUUAGUGUGUUAAAAUCCUUAGGUUCAUCUGUUUUCAUUCUACCCGGACUUAGAUUAAACUAAAUGAAAGAGGUCAAAGCAUUCUCUAAUUAUUUAAAUAACACCAAGUAGUACUACUAACAGUAUGAAUAUCAAAGUUUAGAAAUUCAUUAGUAAUAAAUGGCCAGAGUUAGAAACCCUUAGCUGAGAAUUUUGUGUGCUGUUUUAAAUGGCGGACAAAAUUCUCGUUUGGUUAAGAACCUGGUCUCCUGUUUAUUUUCUAGAGAAGAAUGUAUCACAGCUUCAUGUAACUCGAGGGGUAAAAUAAAAAAA
rnacentral:lncRNA from 1 species